UACGGAGGGUGCAAGCGUUAUCCGGAUUCACUGGGUUUAAAGGGUGCGUAGGUGGGUUGGUAAGUCAGUGGUGAAAUCUCCGUGCUUAACAUGGAAACUGCCAUUGAUACUACUGAUCUUGAAUUUUCUGGAGGUAAGCGGAAUAUGUCAUGUAGCGGUGAAAUGCUUAGAUAUGACAUAGAACACCAAUUGCGAAGGCAGCUUGCUAAAGGGAUAUUGACACUGAGGCACGAAAGCGUGGGGAUCAAACAGG
rnacentral:rRNA from 1 species